rnacentral:rRNA from 1 species
GAUGAACGCUGGCGGCGUGCCUAAUACAUGCAAGUCGAGCGAACAGACGAGGAGCUUGCUCCUCUGACGUUAGCGGCGGACGGGUGAGUAACACGUGGAUAACCUACCUAUAAGACUGGGAUAACUUCGGGAAACCGGAGCUAAUACCGGAUAAUAUAUUGAACCGCAUGGUUCAAUAGUGAAAGACAGUUUUGCUGUCACUUAUAGAUGGAUCCGCGCCGCAUUAGCUAGUUGGUAAGGUAACGGCUUACCAAGGCAACGAUGCGUAGCCGACCUGAGAGGGUGAUCGGCCACACUGGAACUGAGACACGGUCCAGACUCCUACGGGAGGCAGCAGUAGGGAAUCUUCCGCAAUGGGCGAAAGCCUGACGGAGCGACGCCGCGUGAGUGAUGAAGGUCUUCGGAUCGUAAAACUCUGUUAUUAGGGAAGAACAAAUGUGUAAGUAACUAUGCACGUCUUGACGGUACCUAAUCAGAAAGCCACGGCUAACUACGUG